rnacentral:rRNA from 1 species
GAGUACGUAGUUUGAUCCGUGGCUACAGGACGAACGCUGGCGGCGUGCUUAACACAUGCAAGUCGAACGGAGUUACGUUUUCGGAUGUAACUUAGUGGCGAACGGGUGAGUAACGCGUGAGGAACCUGCCUCUCAGUGGGGGACAACAGUUGGAAACGACUGCUAAUACCGCAUAAUGCUAUUGACCGGCAUCGGUUGAUAGCCAAAGAUUUAUCGCUUAAAGAUGGGCUCGCGUCUGAUUAGCUGGUUGGUGAGGUAACGGCUCACCAAGGCGACGAUCAGUAGCCGGACUGAGAGGUUGAACGGCCACAUUGGGACUGAGACACGGCCCAGACUCCUACGGGAGGCAGCAGUGGGGAAUAUUGGGCAAUGGGGGCAACCCUGACCCAGCAACGCCGCGUGAAGGAAGAAGGCUUUCGGGUUGUAAACUUCUUUUACCAGGGACGAAGACGUGACGGUACCUGGAGAAAAAGCCACGGCUAACUACGUG